rnacentral:lncRNA from 1 species
GACGGCGCCUGCGCAAAGGGACGGCGGGUGCCCGCCCCUCCGAAGCCGCGGAUUAGUGAACCGGUGCACGAGCGGAAGAGGACGCGCGACCUUUAUCCGGUUUGGUCCGCUCUAAAAUCAAAACCUACCGGAAACCCGAGCUGCAGUGGCGGGCAGGCAACGAGCUGGUCCUUCGGGCUGGAGCCGGGCGCGGGGGGCGUGGCUUUCGCGGAGUCGCGCUUUCGCCGGGACUGCUGAAAGCCAGCGUCCGGGGCAGAGUUUAAUAUGAGUUAGACCUUAACUGAAUGCUGCUAAAUUUGAGAGCAAAAAGGAGCAUACGCAUAAUGUGAAGUGUGUGUGUGGUUAAGGCAGCCUCCAAACACGUGUGAUGGAGCUCAUGGUAACUCACGGAAGAUACAGGAGCACAGAAGGAUGCAAGUCCAGGUGGGCACUGUGCCUUCGACUGAUUAUGCUGCGUAACACAGCAGGGAAACCUCUUAUCUCAGGCUGGGGUUGCCUGUUUAAGAAUCUUUUUCUUUAUAAAAUGUAUAAGGUAGUAAACACAGCUGUAGAAAAAGGUUUUGUAUUUUCUUGCUGUUUGUUUUAAUCUAUUAAAAUGAUAUAAUUAACACAGAGUACAAAAAUGCCUAUAAAAUUAUACUAUCUGCCUGUGUACAUAUAUGUCGUGGGCCAAGUUUUACCCAGCUCACAGUGUUUGAAAAAUCGGAAUGGAUUUUAUUUUAGAAGUGGUUUUUUACAUCUUUGCAUACAGUGUUGUCAGAUCAUAAAAAUACAGUGGCUUAGGAUCAAUGAACUUUAAAAUUCUAAAUUGAUCUUGGAAUUAGGAUGUUAUUAAAGAUGACUUAAGCUUCACUCUUGCCAUUUCCUUGCCAGAGCUGGAUCAUUGCUCUGAAUUCCUGUCUGCCAAUUACUUUUCUUUUAACUGCACAAGGGGUAUUUUUUUUAAUUGGAAUAUUUAUACAUCUUUAAGGAGAACAAAGGUUUUGUAAAUAGUAUCACAGCCAAACCUUCCUUUCAAGCAGAUGAAAUCUCAGUUUAGGAUGAAGAAUCUGACUCAAUUUCACUUUGCAAAGACAUAUAAUAAUAUAAUCCCAUUUACUUCCUACUUAGAUGAACUUGAAGUGUUUUCAGCUGUGGUAUAUUAAAUUCUUCUCAUAGAGAAUAGAUUUGAGUGGAUACUUAAGGCCUUUUCCUAUCCAGUUAUGUUUCAGUUAAAUGAAUAAACACAUUUUAAUGUCUUAAUUAUAAAAACA